ensembl:rRNA 5S_rRNA 5S ribosomal RNA
UCUAUGGCUACACCACCCUGAACGCCCCUGAUCUUGUCUGAUCUCGGAAGCUAAGCAGGGUUGGACCUGGUUAGUACUUGGAUGAGAGGCUAUUCUGAAUUAUUGGGUCUCUAUUAGGU